UACGGAGGGAGCUAGCGUUGUUCGGAAUUACUGGGCGUAAAGCGCACGUAGGCGGCUUUGUAAGUUAGAGGUGAAAGCCCGGGGCUCAACUCCGAACUGCCUUUAAGACUGCAUCGCUUGAAUCCAGGAGAGGUGAGUGGAAUUCCGAGUGUAGGGGUGAAAUUCGUAGAUAUUCGGAAGAACACCAGUGGCGAAGGCGGCG
rnacentral:rRNA from 1 species